rnacentral:rRNA from 1 species
GACGAACCGAGCGAACGUUGUUCGGAAUCACUGGGCUUAAAGGGCGCGUAGGCGGGUGCUCAAGUCCGUGGUGAAAUCCUCCGGCUCAACCGGAGAACUGCCUCGGAUACUGGGUGCCUCGAGGGUGGUAGGGGGUAUGCGGAACUAUCGGUGGAGCGGUGAAAUGCGUUGAUAUCGAUAGGAACUCCGGUGGCGAAGGCGGCAUACUGGACCACCUCUGACGCUGAGGCGCGAAAGCCAGGGGAGCAAACGGG